UUCACUCUGCAGAUAUAAUAACAGUCAACAGACUCUUCUAUUGGCUCCAGUUAGACCAACAUUGAUGCUUCAUGUGUUUGAUUCUAUGCAAACUCAGUGACCUUCCUUGUUACUCAGCUAUAAAAACUUCCCAUCAGGCUGUCAGUGGAGUUCACAGCACAUCAGUUUCAACAUCAACCAUGUUUUCUGUAGCUCUGCUGCUGCUGUUGGCAGCUGGAUAUGUGAAGUGUGAACAGCUGACACAGCCAGCCUCUGUGACUGUGCAGCCAGGUCAACGUCUGACCAUCACCUGUCAGGUCUCUUAUUCUCUUAGUGGCUACUGGACAGCUUGGAUCAGACAGCCUGCAGGGAAAGGACUGGAGUGGAUUGGAAGGAGAGUUGGUUCCAGCACAAACUACAAAGAUUCACUAAAGAACAAGUUCAGUAUCGACUUAGACUCUUCCAGCAACACAGUGACUCUAAACGGACAGAAUGUGCAGCCUGAAGACACUGCUGUGUAUUACUGUGCCAGAGAGCCACAAUAACACAAACCAUCAGUAGACCUGAACAAAAACCCCUCAGUGCCUGAACACUUGUAACAUGAAGCCACCAGAGGAGGAGCCCUCAGACCACUAAUGGUUUCAACACCAGCUCACUGUUACAGUAAAGAGGGAAACAGUCUUUAGAUUUUAUAAAUGGUUCUUAAUAUAAUUUAAAAGCAACUGAAAUACUCUGACAUUCACUGAUACAUCAUUGUUUGUACUGGAUGUAUAUAUAAGCUUUAAAGUGAGGGAAUGAAUUUAGCUCAUAACUUGCUUUUUAAAGCUCAGCAUGUAAAUUGGCCUCCUUGUGUGUUGCAUCAUAAGGAAGUGAAUAGCGUGUCUGUCAGUUAAAGUUACCUUCUCCAGCAAAUGUCAGGUUUAUCAUUUAAAAACUUGUAUCCCCAACCA